UACGUAGGGUGCGAGCGUUGUCCGGAAUUAUUGGGCGUAAAGAGCUUGUAGGCGGUUUGUUAAGUCUGCUGUGAAAUCCCCGGGCUCAACCUGGGAAUGGCAGUGGAUACUGGCAAGCUAGAGUGUGUCAGAGGAUGGUGGAAUUCCCGGUGUAGCGGUGAAAUGCGCAGAUAUCAGGAGGAACACCAAUGGCGAAGGCAGCUCGCUGGGACGGUACUGACGCUGAGACGCGAAAGCGUGGGGAGCAAACAGG
rnacentral:rRNA from 1 species